CCUACGGGUGGCAGCAGUGAGGAAUAUUGGUCCAUGGGCGCGCGCCUGAACCAGCCAAGUCGCGUGAGGGAUGAAGGUUCUAUGGAUCGUAAACCUCUUUUAUAAGGGAAUAAAGUGUGGGACGUGUCCUAUUUUGUAUGUACCUUAUGAAUAAGGAUCGGCUCACUCCGUGCCAGCAGCCGCGGUAAUACGGAGGAUCCGAGCGUUAUCCGGAUUUAUUGGGUUUAACGGGUGCGUAGGCGGCCUUUUAAGUCAGCGGUGAAAGUUUGUUGCUCAACAAUAGAAUUGACGUUGAAACUGGGGGGCUUGAGUAUGUUUGCGGCAGGCGGAAUGCGUGGUGUAGCGGUGAAAUGCUUAGAUAUCACGCAGAACCCCGAUUGCGAAGGCAGCCUGCCAAGCCAUGACUGACGCUGAUGCACGAAAGCGUGGGGAUCAAACAGGAUUAGAUACCCCGGUAGUC
rnacentral:rRNA from 1 species